GGUGUUAUUUUACUUAAUAAAGGAAGUCAGGUUAAAGGCCUGCGCGGUACCGCCACUGUAAGUGAUGAGCCGCUCUCGUAUACCAUUGAAGGUUUAUUCCUUUGAGAAGGUGAGAGUAAGGUGUUGAUCCACGAGCCAGGAGACUUGCCCGAGAGUUUA
rnacentral:ncRNA from 1 species